rnacentral:lncRNA from 1 species
AAUUUUACAGCUAUAAAUAGUGGUGUUUCUUCCUGGUAUUGUGUAUGAGAAAAGUAUUGUAGUGUGCAUGAAAAAAGUGUGGUUGAUGUAGUGAAAAAGAGAGUUGAGAAAAGGAGAAAAUUUAAGUCUCCAACUUAUUCUCUACAAAAGAGAAUAUUAUUUUAUUGAAGGACGGUAUUCAUUUUGGUGAAACUUUGGACUAAACAACUUUUUCCGACAGGGGGGUGCAGAGUGUUGACGACAGAUUCAAUUGAACCCAUAAUAUCCCAUGUAGAACAAAAAUAUAUAUGUAAAAAUUCCUUAAAAUUAUAAAAAUAGUAUAUAUGUAUCCAUAACUUUAAAAAU